rnacentral:lncRNA from 1 species
AAGAAGUCCUGGCUUAGGUUUACUGGGAUACCUCCAUCUCUUCCUCUGUCAUUGAUGCAGGCCUUGGGCAGCACGAGCACACCUGGCCCCUAGAAGCAGGCGCCUCUAGCCACGCCCUUCGCACAAGGCGUGGGCGGAGCUUCUGGCGGAAGGGCAAGGAAGGAGGAGGAGGUGACGCGGAAAGCGGGCGCCGGUUUCGCUCAGUGGCUGGGAGGAAGCUCGGCUGCCCAGCCGGCCGCGAGCAGGCCGGAGUCCCGGUCGCUGGCCGGGCUUCUCCGGGUGUGGGCGUGAGCAAGGCAGCGGUCCCGGCCGCUGCAGCGUUCGUCCAGCCAGCGCGUUAGGUGCCGGGAGCAAAGAACGUACAUUAGUUCUCAGAAGCUUCUAUGGAAAAAAGGAAUUCAGCCUUACUGAGAAAUGGAAUACUGGGUUUAGAAGCUUUAAGAAGUUCUAUUUUCCUCAAAAUGUGUGCUUUCUGAGUUAAGGCCAGUUGUUUGGGGUAGACAGUUGAAGCAUUUUCUCUUCAUAUCCAGAAAUCAUGGAUCCAGGAUGUAACUUUGUGCAAAGGCGAAGUCUGGAGUGUGUUAGUACUUUGUAUGCCAAAGUGAAAAGAAAGAACAGCA